rnacentral:rRNA from 1 species
CCAAAAAUGAAGGGGACGACUCCGGAGCGCAGUGCCUCGUGCAGGAUGACUGCCUUAUGGGUUGUAAACUGCUUUUAUACGGGAGCAAUAAGGGUUACGUGUAGCCUGAUGAGAGUACUGUAUGAAUAAGGAUCGGCUAACUCCGUGCCAGCAGCCGCGGUAAUACGGAGGAUCCGAGCGUUAUCCGGAAUUAUUGGGUUUAAAGGGUGCGUAGGCGGCUAUUUAAGUCAGCGGUGAAAUUUUGCAGCUUAACUGUAACAGUGCCGUUGAAACUGUUUAGCUAGGAUUUGGUUGCAGUGUGCGGAAUGUGUGGUGUAGCGGUGAAAUGCUUAGAUAUCACACAGAACACCAAUUGCGAAGGCAGCACACUAAGUCAUUAUUGACGCUGAGGCACGAAAGUGUGGGGAUCAAACAGGAUUAGAUACCCUGGUAGUCCACACUGUAAACGAUGAUAACUCGCUGCCGGCGAUACAUUGUCGGUGGCCAAGCGAAAGCAUUAAGUUAUCCACCUGGGGAGUACGACCGCAAGGUUGAAACUCAAAUGAAUUGA